CAACUGGAGAGUUUGAUCCUGGCUCAGAAUCAACGCUGGCGGCGUGCCUAACACAUGCAAGUCGAGCGCGAACGGGGACUUCGGUUCCCUAGUAGAGCGGCGAACGGGUGAGUAACACGUGGGUAAUCUGCCUCCGGGUGGGGAAUAACUCAGGGAAACUUGAGCUAAUUCCGCAUAACGUGGCCGAUCACAAGAUCGGCUACCAAAGCUGGGGACCCUUCGGGGCCUGGCGCCUGGAGAGGAGCCCGCGGCCAAUUAGCUUGUUGGUGAGGUAAUGGCUCACCAAGGCUCCGAUUGGUAGCCGGCCUGAGAGGGCGGACGGUCACACUGGAACUGAGACACGGUCCAGACUCCUACGGGAGGCAGCAGUGAGGAAUU
rnacentral:rRNA from 1 species